UCUAGGCAUGAUAGCAUGCACCUGUAGUCCUAGCUAUUUGAAGGCUGAGGUGGGAGACUGCUUGAGGCCAGGAGUUCUGGGAUGCAGUGUACUAUGCUGUUCAGGUGUCCAAAAUAAGUUUGGAAUCAAUAUAGUGACCUCUUGGGAUCAGGCAACCACCAGGUUGCCUAAGAAAGGGUAACCAGCCCAGGUCAGAAAUGGAAUUGAUAAAAACUCCUGUGCUGAUUAGUAGUUGGAUUGUGCCUGUGAACAGCCACUGCAUUCCAGCCUGGGCAACAUAGCAAGACCCCAUCUCU
rnacentral:SRP_RNA from 1 species